CAAAAUGGCAUUGGCUAGGUUUUUUUCAGCCUCAUGUUGGCCAAAAUAAGAGCCUUUCUUUAAACCAGUGUUCUAAAACAUUCAUCAUCUCAACUGUUUUGGAUUAUCAGUUGGCUGCAAACCAGGGGGUCACCCAUGGCAGCAUGGUACAGACCAUGUCUGUAGGUUUUCUUUUCUUUUGAUUCCAAUGAGAACAUCAGAGAAACAAAGAGCACUUCUUUGCAAGAUGGACUCUUCUAGAGAAGAUGGUCGGCCAAUGGACUGUGGAGACAAAGCCCAGCACUUGGAAUGAUGCUGUCCCACAGAGGACACUCAGUAAAUGCAGUGUCUGCGUCAAUGACUAAAGAACCCAGAAACCCGCUUGCCUGUCCCCUAUAUUGGAUGCUCAAGCAUCAUGGCAUCAUUUCCAGUGGAGUCGCUGAACUUGUAGGUUGUCUACCUGACACCUCGAGGUCCUUACACCAAGAAGUCAGCUGUGAAGCCCGCUGAGUCCUCGGGUGGAUGUCUGCCACCACAUACAUAGCCUUUGCUGGUGGCUUGGAGAGCUGGCAGGUCAGCCACAGAAAGUGGGCAAGACCUAGUCAGUAGCGACAGGAUAUGUUCCCAGGAUGGACAGCUGCCUGAUAUGCGUUCAGUUCCAGUGCCAAAGCCAAGGGCUGCCAGUGCCCUUCCUUCAUGCUAAGGACUUCUCUCUCUCCAGGACAGCGGAUGCCUGUUUGGAAGGCUGGAUUGGACUGAGCCACAUGGCAGAGCCUUGGAGAUGGCAGGGGAGGGAAGUCGAAGACAUGGGCAAGUCUCAG
rnacentral:lncRNA from 1 species